GACGAACGCUGGCGGCGUGCUUAACACAUGCAAGUCGAACGCAGUGGCGAACGGGUGAGUAACGCGUAAUCAACCUGCCCUUCAGCGGGGGACAACAGUUGGAAACGACUGCUAAUACCGCAUACUGUAGGAGGAGAUUGCGUGUGAUUAGUUCGUUGGAGGGGGAAGGGCCCACCAAGGCGAGGAUCAGUAGCCGGUCUGAGAGGAUGAACGGCCACAUUGGGCCUGAGACACGGCCCAGACUCCUACGGGAGGCAGCAGUGGGGAAUCUUCCGGAAUGGACGGAAGUCUGACGGAGCAACGCCGCGUGAGUGAUGACGGCCUUCGGGUUGUAAAGCUCUGUUAAUCGGGACGCGGUACCGGAAUAGAAAGCCACGGCUAACUACGUGCCAGCAGCCGCGGUAAUUC
rnacentral:rRNA from 1 species